rnacentral:lncRNA from 1 species
CCGCGCGCCUCAGUCGUGUCCAGGGUGUCGUGGCGCGCUAGUGUCCCUCUGCCCCGCCGUCGGUCCUCGCCCUCGCUCCAGACGCGCGCCCCCGUCGUGGGUGUCCUCCGACAGGCCUGGAGGUGCAGGUGUGAGGAUAAAUAAAAAGGAUAAAAGAAACACGUGGAAGGAUGAGUGAUAUAUGAAAAAAUAUAUAUAAUUAAAAAAACUCUCAAUAAGGAACAAGAGAAAAAGAAACAAACCGAAGAACAGGAAUAAGAAAAAUAAUAUACAAGAACAAGAACAACAAGAACAACAAGAACAGAUACGCCCUCGUCUUUCUAUAGAUCACCAUGACAAUUCGGAGGUACCUUUCGCCGCCCGUCCUACUGUGCCUGUGGGCGGGGAUGGGCGGCGUGUGGGUGGCGCCCUCCCCGCCCCUGGACCACUCCUCGCCCACGCCCGACCUCUUGGCACUCACGCAGGACUUCUGGCACUGGAAGACGCAGGAUUAUCCGCAGUUCGCGACGCAGGUCUGUUUGAGUUUGG